GACGAACGCUGGCGGCGUGCUUAACACAUGCAAGUCGAACGGAAAGGCCCUGCUUUUGUGGGGUGCUCGAGUGGCGCACGGGUGAGUAACACGUGAGUAACCUGCCCUUGUCUUUGGGAUAACUUCAGGAAACUGGGGCUAAUACCGGAUAGGAGCUCCUGCUGCAUGGUGGGGGUUGGAAAGUUUCGGCGGUUGGGGAUGGACUCGCGGCUUAUCAGCUUGUUUGGGGGGUAGUGGCUUACCAAGGCUUUGACGGGUAGGCGGCCUGAGAGGGUGACCGGCGACAUUGGGCCUAAGAGACGGACCAGUCUCGUACGGGAGGCAGCAGGGGGGAAUAUUGCACAAUGGGCGGAAGCCUGAGGCAGCAACGCCGCGUGCGGGAUGCCGGCCUUCGGGUUGUAAACCGCUUUCGACUGUGACGAAGCGUUAGUGACGGUAAUGGGUAAAGAAGCACCGGCUAACUACGUG
rnacentral:rRNA from 1 species